AUUGAACGCUGGCGGCAUGCCUUACACAUGCAAGUCGAACGGUAACGGGUCCUUCGGGAUGCCGACGAGUGGCGAACGGGUGAGUAAUAUAUCGGAACGUGCCCAGUAGUGGGGGAUAACUGCUCGAAAGAGCAGCUAAUACCGCAUACGACCUGAGGGUGAAAGGGGGGGAUCGCAAGACCUCUCGCUAUUGGAGCGGCCGAUAUCAGAUUAGCUAGUUGGUGGGGUAAAGGCCUACCAAGGCAACGAUCUGUAGUUGGUCUGAGAGGACGACCAGCCACACUGGGACUGAGACACGGCCCAGACUCCUACGGGAGGCAGCAGUGGGGAAUUUUGGACAAUGGGCGCAAGCCUGAUCCAGCAAUGCCGCGUGCAGGAAGAAGGCCUUCGGGUUGUAAACUGCUUUUGUCAGGGAAGAAAUCUUCUGGGCUAAUACCCCGGGAGGAUGACGGUACCUGAAGAAUAAGCACCGGCUAACUACGUGCCAGCCGCCGCCGUAACAC
rnacentral:rRNA from 1 species